UGGGGGAAUCUUCCGCAAUGGACGAAAGUCUGACGGAGCAACGCCGCGUGAACGAUGACGGCCUUCGGUUGUAAGUUCUGUUAUACGGGACGAAUGGCGUAGCGGUCAAUACCCGUUACGAGUGACGGUACCGUAAGAGAAAGCCACGGCUAACUACGUGCCAGCAGCCGCGGUAAUACGUAGGUGGCAAGCGUUGUCCGGAAUUAUUGGGCGUAAAGGGCGCGCAGGCGGCGUCGUAAGUCGGUCUUAAAAGUGCGGGGCUUAACCCCGUGAGGGGACCGAAACUGCGAUGCUAGAGUAUCGGAGAGGAAAGCGGAAUUCCUAGUGUAGCGGUGAAAUGCGUAGAUAUUAGGAG
rnacentral:rRNA from 1 species